UGGGGAAUAUUGCACAAUGGGCGAAAGCCUGAUGCAGCAACGCCGCGUGAGUGAUGAAGGCCUUCGGGUUGUAAAGCUCUGUCUUUUGGGACGAUAAUGACGGUACCAAAGGAGGAAGCCACGGCUAACUACGUGCCAGCAGCCGCGGUAAUACGUAGGUGGCAAGCGUUGUCCGGAUUUACUGGGCGUAAAGGAUGCGUAGGCGGAUUUUUAAGUGAGAUGUGAAAACCCUAAGCUUAACUUGGGGACUGCAUUUCAUACUGGAAAUCUAGAGUGCGGGAGAGGAGAAUGGAAUUCCUAGUGUAGCGGUGAAAUGCGUAGAGAUUAGGAAGAACACCAGUGGCGAAGGCGAUUCUCUGGACCGUAACUGACGCUGAGGCAUGAAAGCGUGGGUAGCAAACAGGAUUAGAUACCCUGGUAGUCCACGCCGUAAACGAUGAGUACUAGGUGUAGGAGGUAUCGACCCCUUCUGUGCCGCAGUUAACACAAUAAGUACUCCGCCUGGGAAGUACGAUCGCAAGAUUAAAACUCAAAGGAAUUGAC
rnacentral:rRNA from 1 species